AAAUAACAUAAAAAUAAAAAUGGUAGGUAACAGCACUCUAAGGACUUCAAAAAGUACUUUUUGAAGUCCUUAGAGUGCUGUUACCUACCAUUUUUAU